rnacentral:tRNA from 1 species
CGGGAUUUAGCGCAGUUGGUAGCGCACUCGUCUGGGGGGCGCGAGGUCGCUGGUUCGAGUCCAGUAAUCCCGA